rnacentral:tRNA from 1 species
AGGUAAUGAAGUAAAAAUACAUUUAGCUUCGACCUAAAAUUAAGAGAUAAUUUCUCCUUACCUG